rnacentral:rRNA from 1 species
UACGUAGGGUGCAAGCGUUUAAUCGGAAUUACUGGGCGUAAAGCGUGCGCAGGCGGUUUUGUAAGUCUGUCGUGAAAUCCCCGGGCUCAACCUGGGAAUUGCGUUUGAAACUACAAGGCUAGAGUGUAGCAGAGGGGGGUAGAAUUCCACGUGUAGCAGUGAAAUGCGUAGAGAUGUGGAGGAAUACCAAUGGCGAAGGCAGCCCCCCUGGGUUAACACUGACGCUCAUGCACGAAAGCGUGGGGAGCAAACAGGAUUAGAAAACC